GCCCUGGAUUUGUUCCACAACUACUGAAUGCAUUGAACUAUUGGGUAUUACACACAGAAUACCUGUGGAAGAAGCCAACAAAGAAAUUCGGUGAGCUUGCUCUGAAUACUAUAUUUGCAUCUUUUACUGUGUAUAUGAGAGUAAGGCUUUACCAGUGACAAGAUGUCACAGCUGGGAAAUGAGCAUAAAGGAACAACCACCACGUUUGCAUAUAGCAAUCAUGAAAUCGAACGUAUCUUGGGACAAGGUGAAAACAUAGCCUUAAACUUGGGGAGCUCGAAUAAGAGGGAACCCAUCGAGGAGCUAUUGCUCCUGGAGAAAAGGAUUUUAAAUCUAAAACUGCACCGGUCAACUUUGGCUGAAUAUGUCCGCUCGAAUAUUAUACCAAGAGGGUUGCGAGUGGUUAAUAAACCAAACCUGUGCACUACUAUCCCACUGAUGAAUACAAGGUGGCAAGAAAUCAGCAAUAAAUGUUCUAUUGACUUUAUGGUGCUUACAAUUGAAUGCCUAGAUGUGGAGGUGAAAGAGUUAACAGAGGAGUCUCUGAGAGUUAAAGCUGAAGUGAUUGACAAGCUGGGAGCAACGAGAGUUGAUGCUGCUAUGGCAGAUCACGCUGAUACUCUGACCAAGUUACAGACGGAGAUAACAGAGAGAAAAAGGCGUAAGUUCUUACGAGACCGCAAUGAUUAUGAUAGCGGUCGUGUUUAUUCCUGGAAAGAGGAGCGUAACAGGGACCGCCUAAACAGAAGAGUGGAAGCCCCGCCCCUACAAACAGGAAACUACCAAAGAAGUGUGGAAGAGCCGAGGAAACUUAACUGGCAGAGAGACCUUAGGGAACGCUAUGGAGGGAAUUCCAGACUACCUCGUUAUACAUCUAAGCAGUAUUACAACUCUUUAACUUUAGAUUCCUCGGCAUAUACAAGCACUGAGGACGAGGAAUCGAUUCCCAGCAAAGCUGACCAUUAUUUUUUAGGCGCACGCCCAAAGGAAGGGCCUGGAGCAAUAGGGAAGAAAAAUCCACGCUACCCGAUAGAGAGAGACGCCUAUCCUCAGCGGUAUCGAAACAACAGCAACAACCAGAGGAGGUAAAUCAACUUGUGGUUAAUUUAUCCUCUGUUACACUUACUGAGACUGAACUUAAAGUCCUUAAUAAAGGCCUAGGCUUUGUACCUAGUUAUUCUAUAGACCUUUUCGAUUGGGAGGUGGACUUUUAUAAGUUUAUUCGCUCUGCUAAACUUAAAAUGAAUUUUUCAGGGGUAAAACCUAACACUGCUAUGCCUGAUUUGAAAUUGCCGAUUUUGAAAAAGAAAAGUACAUUUAUCCCUGAUGUAACAUGUGGGGCCCUCGAAAUGUUUACACAGGUGGUCACUGAGGAGGUGAAAAAAGUGUGGGGUAACAAUAGUGGGGUCCGCAAUAAUCUUAAUUAUGAAGAAAGGAAAGCAUUAACCACCCUUAAAAACAAUAAAGAUAUUGUAAUAAAAAAGGCGGAUAAGGGGGGAGCGGUGGUCAUAAUGGAUAUAUCUGCAUAUAGAACAGAGGUUAUGAGACAAUUGGAGACCCCCGGGCACUAUUCCCUAAUUGAAAGCGAUCCAACAAUUAAACUUAAAACGUUAAUUGAUACAAUGGUGUUUGAUGCUUAUACUGCAGGAACAAUAGAUAAGAGCACUAAGGAAUAUCUUAUUACAGACUUUCCCAGAAUACCAAUGCUGUAUAUAUUGCCAAAAAUUCACAAAACACUAGAGAACCCACCUGGAAGACCCAUAGUGUCCGGAAUAGGGUCAGUACUUGAACCCCUCUCCAAACUCGUUGAUCGACAUCUACAAGGUUUAGUUUGUAAUUUGCCUACAUGCCUUAAAGAUACGAAUGAGUUAUUGUUAAAAUUGGAUAAGGUUCAUAAUAUAUCCCCAGGUAUUUGGCUCUGUAGUAUCGACAUACAGAGCCUUUUUACUUCAAUACCCCAAGAUGAGGGGAUUAAAUGUGUGGAGGAUGCUCUCUUGGAAACUAAUUUGUCUAACUCAUAUGUUUAUUUCUUAAUUGACUGCCUUGAAAUUGUAUUAAAAAAGAAUUAUUUCAAAUUUGACGAUCUUUUCUAUUGGCAGAAACAAGGGACGUCGAUGGGUUCAGCGGUCGCCCCAUCCCUUGCAAAUUUAUUUGUAUAUGAUUUGGAGAAUAAAUUAUUUCUGAGAGAGCCAUAUUUGCAGUAUAUUAGAUGCUACUAUAGGUAUGUGGAUGACAUACUGAUCCUUUGGGAUGGACCGUUAGAGGCAUUUAAUAAUAUGGUGGAUACUGCAAAUGAGGCCCACAAUACAGUCAAAUUUACCAGUGAGUCAUCCAACCAAACUAUUAGUUUUUUGGAUGUACAAAUUAAAAUAGAAAAUGGGGGCCUAUGUACAGAUUUGUAUCGGAAACCAAUGGACCGAAAUAAUCUCCUCCACAGUAAGAGUUUCCAUAACCCACGAACACUGGAUGCGAUCCCUAAGGGACAAUUUAUGAGAGCCAAGAAGAUAGCAUCCAGUGAAGUGGGUUAUAAACAUGCAAGUAGCGAUCUGACAGAAAGGUUUCUGCAAAGGGGAUACCCCAAAGGUAAACUUAAAGCAGUGGUAGAAGAGGUGAAAGGGAUGGACCGUGCUGCUUUAUUACAGCCCAAACAAAAGCAGGGUGAGACGGAUAGAUUAACCUUCGUAAGUACAUACGACAAAAGGAGUAAGAAGGUAGAAAAGAUAGUGAAACAAUAUUGGCCACUUCUGCAAACUGAUGCUAUCUUCGGAAAAGUUUUUUCGAAUCCCCCGCGGUUCUCGUAUAAAAAGGGUAAGUCAAUAAGAGACACAUUAUGUGCCAUUUCAAGAGUGGAUAAUAGCAAUACUGUGUUUAAAGGUACACCAAAAGUAGGCACAUACCCGUGCAUGAAUUGCAACUGUUGCAAUUCCAUUAUAAAAGGACCUUGUAUAAAUCAUCCCAUUACAGGUGAGGUAAUCAAACUAAAGUCAUACGCCACAUGUAAAACCAGCCACGUAAUUUAUGCUCUGAAAUGUCCCUGCGGGAAAAUGUACGUAGGGAAGACAAUAAGGUCUGUCAGUACUAGGAUAAAAGAGCAUAAAGGCAAUAUACGCAAUUUUAAAAAUGAUACCUAUACUGACACUCCUGUAGCCAGACAUUUUGAUACUGUAAAACAUAAUGUAUGUCAGCUAAAGUGGAUAGUGUUAGAGACAGUAGCAAAACCCAGUAGAGGAGGUGAUCAUAACUUGAUACUAUUGCAGAGGGAGGCCAGAUGGAUAAAGCGCUUGGAUAGUGCUUAUCCGAAAGGGUUAAAUGAGCAGUGCAAUUUAUCAUGUUUUCUUUAAUAGUAAUGGCUUGUCGUCCUUUGUUCCCAGGAAUUAUAACUAGAUUCCAAGUUGUAAUGACAUGGAACUCCUGCUGCAUUUACAUAUGGGUCUUUUACAGGUUAGGCGGAUUGAGCAGUAACCUGGUUUUAACAUUAUGUUUCAGUGGGAUUUCAACAUGUAUUAUAUGAAAUAAUGUGUGUCACUUUUAAUAGCUAGAUGAAUUGGGUCACAAUAAGUUUUUACAAUAUUUA